rnacentral:lncRNA from 1 species
CUGGGCGGCACGCACAGCAGCGGCCCGGCGCCAACGGGCCGCCUGGGGGCCCAGCGGGUGUCUGGGGCCACCCGCCUUCUCCUAAGCUUGGGGGGCAUGGGGGGGGCCGGCAGGCGGCAGGGGUCCCACCGAACCACCCCCCCGUCCCCAUCAGCUAGUAGCUGCCCCGGGGGCCCUGCAGGGCGGCCAAAGGUCCUGUUCCUCCACCGGGAACAGGGUGAGGACAGACGGCAGCUGGACGCCAGCCUGUGGGAAUGCGGUCCCGUCCGGGGCUGUCUGUCCCCCUCCCCCGCCCUGACCUUCGCUCCACACCGCCUGCUGACGUACCCGCCCUCGGCCGCAGCCUGGGAACCCCAACCUCAGGGCCGGCCUGGCCACAGCGCUCUGGGUCCUGCGUCCUGGACACCUGGCUGGACGUUUGUCCCUGAAAACAUUGCCACACACCCUGCAGUGUGGACAAACCCCGAAAACACACAGGCGAUAGAAUCGGAAGCAGCGCAAGCAGAGUCCGGGGCUGUUCACAGUUCAACACCAUUCUUCUCCUUUUUAAAUGCCCGUACCUAUUUUACGUUUUCGAAAUUGAACGUAAGUACGUAAUCGGUAAGUACGUCGCUCCCUGGACUCCUGACGCUCCCGGUAACCUAGCAGCCCUCGUCUCUGAGGACACGGGAACACCUGGCGCGGCCCGCCCGACGCACACACGCGUGCUCUGCGCUCCGAGGGCUUGUGGGGAGUUAGAAGGAAUCCACCGUCCUUGCCCUUUCUUACCC